rnacentral:rRNA from 1 species
UACGGGGGGAGCAAGCGUUGUUCGGAUUUACUGGGCGUAAAGGGCGCGUAGGCGGCGUGACAAGUCACUUGUGAAAUCUCCGGGCUUAACUCGGAACGGUCAAGUGAUACUGUCGUGCUAGAGUACAGAAGGGGCAACUGGAAUUCUCGGUGUAGCGGUGAAAUGCGUAGAUAUCGAGAGGAACACCUGCGGCGAAGGCGGCUUUCUGGGCCUUACCUGACGCUGAGACGCGAAAGCGUGGGGAGCGAACCGG